UACGAAGGGGGCGAGCGUUGUUCGGAAUUACUGGGCGUAAAGGGCGCGUAGGCGGCGACUCUAGUCAGAUGUGAAAGUCCUGGGCUCAACCUGGGAACUGCGCUUGAUACGGCAGAGCUAGAGGAUGGAAGAGGGUCGCGGAAUUCCCAGUGUAGAGGUGAAAUUCGUAGAUAUUGGGAAGAACACCGGUGGCGAAGGCGGCGACCUGGUCCAUUACUGACGCUGAGGCGCGACAGCGUGGGGAGCAAACAGG
rnacentral:rRNA from 1 species